rnacentral:rRNA from 1 species
UACGUAGGGGGCAAGCGUUGUUCGGAUUUAUUGGGCGUAAAGAGCGUGUAGGCGGCCUGAAAGGUCAGCUGUGAAAACUCGAGGCUCAACCUCGAGACGUCGGUUGAAACCAUCUGGCUAGAGUCCGGAAGAGGAGUGUGGAAUUCCCGGUGUAGCGGUGAAAUGCGCAGAUAUCGGGAAGAACACCCGUGGCGAAGGCGGCACUCUGGGACGGUACUGACGCUGAGACGCGAAAGCGUGGGGAGCGAACAGG